CAAUAGCGUAUAUUUAAGUUGUUGCAGUUAAAAAGCUCGUAGUCGGAUUUUGGCUGAGAACGAUCGGUCCGCCGUUAGGUGUGCACUGAUUGGUCUCAGCUUCCUGGUGAGGAGGUGUGCUUCACGGCCACUUAGUCACCGUGGUUACUUUGAAAAAAUUAGAGUGUUCAAAGCGGGCUUACGCUUGAAUAUAUUAGCAUGGAAUAACACCAUAGGACUCCUGUCCUAUUUCGUUGGUCUCGGGACGGGAGUAAUGAUUAAGAGGAACAGUUGGGGGCAUUCGUAUUUCAUUGUCAGAGGUGAAAUUCUUGGAUUUAUGAGAGACGAACUUCUGCGAAAGCAUUUGCCAAGGAUGUUUUCAUUGA
rnacentral:rRNA from 1 species